CCAAUAGCGUAUAUUAAAGUUGCUGCAGUUAAAAAGCUCGUAGUUGAAUUUCGGGACUAAUAUGUCGGUCGUGCCUCGGUACGUACUGGUAUUUUUGGUUUCUCCCUUCUGACGAACCUUGAUGUCAUUAAUUUGGUGUCUUGGGAAAUCAGGACUGUUACUUUGAAAAAAUUUGAGUGUUUAAAGCAGGCUCACGCUUGAAUACAUUAGCAUGGAAUAAUGAAAUAGGACGUUUGAUUCUAUUUUGUUGGUUUCUAGGAUCGACGUAAUGAUUAAUAGGGAUAGUUGGGGGCAUUAGUAUUCAAUUGUCAGAGGUGAAAUUCUUGGAUUUAUUGAAGACUAACUACUGCGAAAGCAUUUGCCAAGGAUGUUUUCAUUAAUCAAGAACGAAAGUUAGGGGAUCGAAGACGAUCAGAUACCGUCGUAGUCUUAACCAUAAACUAUGCCGACUAGGGAUCGGAUGAUGUUAAUUUUUUAAUGACUCAUUCGGCGCCUUACG
rnacentral:rRNA from 1 species